rnacentral:rRNA from 1 species
GGGUCAGGAGGUUGGUCGUGCCACCGGUACGUACUGGUCUCACUGACUCCUCCUUCCUGAAGAACCGUAAUGCCAUUAAUUUGGUGUUGCGGGGAAACAGGACUGUUACUUUGAAAAAAUUAGAGUGUUUAAAGCAAGCUAACGCUUGAAUACAUUAGCAUGGAAUAAUGAAAUAGGACGAUCGAUCCUAUUUUGUUGGUUUCUAGGAUUGACGUA